GGACGAACGCUGGCGGCGUGCCUAAUACAUGCAAGUCGAACGGUCUUUCUAUGGAAGCUUGCUUCCACUGAGAAGAUAGUGGCGAACGGGUGAGUAACACGUGGGUAACCUGCCCAUAAGAGGGGGAUAACAUCCGGAAACGGGUGCUAAUACCGCAUAGUUUUCUUGAUCGCAUGAUUGAGAAAGGAAAGACGGCCUUUGUGCUGUCGCUUAUGGAUGGACCCGCGGCGUAUUAGUUAGUUGGUGAGGUAACGGCUCACCAAGACGAUGAUACGUAGCCGACCUGAGAGGGUGAUCGGCCACAUUGGGACUGAGACACGGCCCAAACUCCUACGGGAGGCAGCAGUAGGGAAUCUUCCGCAAUGGACGAAAGUCUGACGGAGCAACGCCGCGUGAGUGAAGAAAGGUUUUCGGAUCGUAAAACUCUGUUGUCAGAGAAGAACAAGUUGGAGAGUAACUGCUCCAGCCUUGACGGUAUCUGACCAGAAAGCCACGGCUAACUACGUGCCAGCCGCAGC
rnacentral:rRNA from 1 species